rnacentral:tRNA from 1 species
GCGGGUGUGAUGUAAUCGGUAGCAUGAGACGCUUCCACCGUCUUCGUGCGAGUUCAAAUCUCGCCGUCCGCU